rnacentral:rRNA from 1 species
GACGAACGCUGGCGGCGUGCUUAGCACAUGCAAGUCGAACGAAGAGCGAUGGAAGCUUGCUUCUAUCAAUCUUAGUGGCGAACGGGUGAGUAACGCGUAAUCAACCUGCCCUUCAGAGGGGGACAACAGUUGGAAACGACUGCUAAUACCGCAUACGAUCUAACCUCGGCAUCGAGGAAAGAUGAAAGGUGGCCUCUAUGUAUAAGCUAUCACUGAAGGAGGGGAUUGCGUCUGAUUAGCUAGUUGGAGGGGUAACGGCCCACCAAGGCGAUGAUCAGUAGCCGGUCUGAGAGGAUGAACGGCCACAUUGGGACUGAGACACGGCCCAGACUCCUACGGGAGGCAGCAGUGGGGAAUCUUCCGCAAUGGACGAAAGUCUGACGGAGCAACGCCGCGUGAGUGAUGACGGCCUUCGGGUUGUAAAGCUCUGUUAAUCGGGACGAAAGGCCUUCUUGCGAAUAGUUAGAAGGAUUGACGGUACCGGAAUAGAAAGCCACGGCUAACUACGUGCCAGCAGCCGCGGUAAUACGUAGGUGGCAAGCGUUGUCCGGAAUUAUUGGGCGUAAAGCGCGCGCAGGCGGAUCAGUCAGUCUGUCUUAAAAGUUCGGGGCUUAACCCCGUGAUGG